rnacentral:lncRNA from 10 species
AUGGACCCUGAAGAAGCACUUUGUUGGCAAUCCUACUAAUAGUGACUUUGAGUUGAAGACAGCUGAGCUCCCACCCUUAAAAAAUAGAGAGGUCCUGCUUGAAGCUUUGUUCCUCACUGGGGACCCUUACAUGAGAGUGGCAGCCAAAAGACUGAAGGAAGGUGAUACAAUGAUGGGGCAGCAAGUGGCCAGAUUUGUGGAAAGUAAAAACGCAGCCUUACCAACAGAACUAUUGUACUGGCUCCUUCAGGCUGGACAGCACACUCCAUUGCUCAUGGAAAAGAUCUGGAAAACCUGCCAACAGAAUGGCCUGACACAGUACCACUGUCUCUGGCUCUGGGGACAGUUAGCAUGACAGGCCUCACUGCCUACUUUGGCCUACUUGACAUCUGUGGUGUGAAGGGUGGAGAAACAGUGAUGGUUAAUGCAGCAGCUGGAGCUGUGGGCUCUGUUUUGGGGCAGAUUACAAAGCUCAAGGGCUGCAAAGUGGUUGGAGCAGUAGGGUCUGACGAAAAGACUGCCUGCCUUAAAAAGCUUGGAUCUGAUGUCUUUAACUACAAGACAGUAGAGUCUUUGAAGAAACUUUGAAGAAAGCCUCUCCUGAUGGUUACAAUUGUUAUUUUGGUAAUGUAAGUGGAUGGUUUUCAAACACUGUUAUCUCCCAGAUGAAGAAAUUUGGAAGAAUUGCCACAUGUGGAGCUAUCUCUAUAUAGUACCAGCCCACUUCCCCCAGGCCCAAUCCCAGAGAUUGUUAGAUGUAUCAGGAGCUUCACAUGGAAGGGUUCAUUGUGACCUGCUGGCCAGGAGAUGCCCACCAAAAAGCUCUAAAGGACUUGCUGAAAUGGGUCUCAGAGGGUCAAAUCCAGUACCAGGAAUAUAUCAUUGAAGGAUAUGAAAACAUGCCAGCUGCAUUUAUGGGAAUGCUGAAAGGAGAUAAUUUGGAAAAACAAUAGUGAAAGC